rnacentral:misc_RNA from 1 species
GAUGAAGAACGUAGCGAAAUGCGAUAAGUAGUGUGAAUUGCAGAAUUCAGUGAAUCAUCGAAUCUUUGAACGCACAUUGCGCCCCUUGGUAUUCCAUGGGGCAUGCCUGUUCGAGCGUCAUUUCAACCCUCAAGACCCCUUCGGGGGACUUGGUGUUGGGGACCGGCACAGGGGCCUGCCUGCUUGUCUUGCAGCGCCCUCGCCGCCCCCGAAAUGAAUUGGCGGCCUCGUCGCGGCCUCCCCUGCGUAGUAGCACAAACCUCGCAACGGGAACGUGACGGCGGCCACUGCCGUAAAACAACCCAAUUUUAUUAGAGUUGACCUCGAAUCAGGUAGGAAUACCCGCUGAACUUAAGCAUAUCAAUAAGCGGAGGA